rnacentral:rRNA from 1 species
UACGAAGGGUGCAAACGUUGCUCGGAAUUAUUGGGCGUAAAGGGCUCGUAGGCGGCCAACUAAGUCGGACGUGAAAUCCCCAGGCUCAACCUGGGAACUGCGUCCGAUACUGGAUGGCUUGAAUUCGGGAGAGGGAUGCAGAAUUCCAGGUGUAGCGGUGAAAUGCGUAGAUAUCUGGAGGAAUACCGGUGGCGAAGGCGGCAUCCUGGACCGACAUUGACGCUGAGGAGCGAAAGCUAGGGGAGCAAACGGG